GGAGAGAAGCCAUGGUUGUGUUUCCCGGGCUGACACCUCCUGCUGAGCAUCCUUCCCUGCAGGAAUGGCAGUCCUCUCGCGUUACUCUGGGCACGCGCCGCCGUGCUGCUGAUGGGACCAGACAGGAUCCGUCACUGUGCUGAUGUGUCUCCUCCACAAAAAAUCCUGAAUGACACCAGCGUCUGAGAGACAAGGAACAAAGGGAAAACAAAUAAAAUUAUCUGCUCUGUUUGGUCCCCUCUGGUCAUCUGUCAUCCCAGUCUGGCGUGGGGUCUGUGGAGGAGGGCUGGGGUUUGAGGGUUCUGGGCUGGGGAUAUGAGAGGGGUUUGCUUUGUUCACGUGAGACCAACAGGCCUGGCAGGCCAGCACGCUGCUUCUGCUGGACUCUGUGGAGUCUCUGUCUCUGUUUCAGCUUGGUGCUGAUGUCCAGACUCCCCUGAGUGCUGCCAUAACCAGACCCUUGCAGUGGGGCAGAGCUCGGCGUCGCUGGUGCGUCACAAGCGUCAGAAGGACCUCGCCAAGGUCGUGUGAGUGCCUCUCCCUGCCUCAAGGAGGCUGUUUGAAAGCUGCUCUCAGAUCAGUGAGGACCAACUGGGAUGGCUGUGCUCCUCUGCAAUGCAUGUGACAGAUGUGUCAGCUCUGGGCUAAUUCUCUCCAAAUGGUCCAUUUCUGUCUCCAAACACAGUGGCCAAAAGCAGAGCACCAGCCUUAUGAUGAAAAUCAGUCUUUAAGCAGCACUUUGGGACCUGCCCUAAUCAGAGUUUUGUGUGGCACCACUCUGAAGUGUGCUGGAACUGGAGGGAAGAGAGCAGAGAUGGGAAAGGACAGGCGCAUCCAAUCGAGGCUGGGUGUCCCGUGUGACUGCUGCUGAGCUGCAUCCUGUUUGGACCAGGGGACUUGGUGCUCCAUGGACCUGAAAGGAAGGUCAGGGGAUGUCACAUGAAGGUGCCUGGACUCCUGCCCAGCCUGG